AAAGAAAGAAAGAGAGGAAGGAGAAAGGAGAGGCGAGAAAGGGAGGAAGGGAAAGAAGAAAAGGAAGGAAGGAUGAGAAAGAGAAAGAAAAGGAAAAUUACAUCAUCUUCUGUUUUGCAAUGAUCCGCCCCAAACUCUUUGAAACAAGAGGGGACACAGAAUUCAAGUUGAGGUCAGCUUUGGCAGGGGGCUAGGCAUCCUACAACCUGUAUGAACCCAGGUGUCUUCUAGAGUGUGUCCAGGGAAUGUAGUAAAAUUAGAAUGAUGAGUAACCAUUGUUGGGUGUCGAACCGAGAAGCCAGGCGAGCAUUUUCGACAGCACCACCAUUACUCACAACAAUCCUAUCAAAUAGGGCUUGCCAUUCUUGUUGCCAUUUUAAAGGUGGGAAAAGAGACUCAGAGAUUGGUUCCAUGGUUGGUUAGCAGUGGAGCUCGCGAUGAUGCCUCAGAGCCACAUCUCUAAGCCUUGUGAAAAGAAGCAGAAGCAGUGCAGAGAAGAGCAAUGCUUGAGGAAGGGAAAUGAAGAGGCAAAUUGAAGGAGUCCCAUCACAUGGCUUUUGCACGUGUAUCUCCCUUUACCAGAACACCCUUCCCCCAGAUUGAAGUUUCAGAUCAAAAUAUAGAGAUAAUCAUCCAUCGCCCCAGCUAACCUGCCCACUACACGCACACCUACCCCCUCAGAUGUUUUGAUGAAUCCUGUUUUAUUUUAUUUUUAAAAUUUUUAUUCAUGUAAGUAAUCUCUACACCCAACAUGGGGCUCGAACUCAUGACCUCGAGAUCAAGAGUCUCAUGCUCUUCCAACAGAGCCAGCCAGGUGCCGUCUGUACUAUUUUUCAAAUAGCCUCACCUCUUCUGGAAUUAUCUUUUCAUCCAUUAAGAGAGGCUGUAGGGAAAUGGAGGAAAAGUAUCUCGCUUGUGUGUUUUAAUAUUAUCUACUGCUGUCAUGAACUCCUCAUGUCAAGACAUUUGGAAAAACACCUGAGAGGAUGGGUGUGCUUGUUGGGGACUCUGGGAACCACUUCAUUAUCCAGAGCUGCAGUCUGAUCUGAAAUAUCAACAGGCAUCAUCUUGAUCAUCUUGGGAAAGAAGUCUUCUGACGUCCUGAGUCCUCAGUCUUCUGAAGCAAUCUGCUGGUCCCAAGUUCUCCCUUUCCAAGGACCUGGAAGAAAGACGGUGAUAAACCAAAGACGCUUACAGCUUCAUCAGCUCGAAGGACAUGACUUAUUUUCCUCUUCCUUGAACUUUGCUUGGCUUCCCGAGAAGAUAACUUAUUUUUAUUUCUCUCUUUAUUUCUUUAUUUUGUAUCAGCCUGUAUUAAAGUCCUAUAAAUAACCCUGGA